UUUCUACUCCCUCCGCCCAAAAAUACUUGUGAUCAAAAUGGAUAAAAAGAGAUGUAUCUAAAACUAAAAUACGUCUAGAUACAUUUCCUUUUAUCCAUUUUGAUGACAAGUAUUUCUGGACGGAUGGAGUAUUUG
rfam:Triticum aestivum genome assembly, contig: Triticum_aestivum_CS42_TGACv1_scaffold_000026_1AL